CGGGCGGAGGGAGGGAGGGAGGGCUUUGUCUCGGCUCCCCCCUUUGCCUCCCCUGCCUCCUCCGCCGCCGCCGCCCGCUCCCUCGCUCUCGCUCUCCCUCUCCCGUCGCCGCGGCGCGGUGCGGAAGGUAGGUUGCAGCGCGUGUGGUGUACACACACCGCCCCGAGCAGGAAAAUGGACCCCUUAGGGAGGCAGGCAGGCGGUAGCCGCGCACGCUGCGCGCUCCCGGGGAGGCAGCGGCUAUGAGGAGGCGAGCGGAGGACGGGGGAACAAGCAGCAUAAAAAAGAAGUGUUGAGAGCUGCUCUUAACCCUUUUGGAGUCCGAAGUCAAAAGGGAACUAGGGGGCUUGAUACAUCCCUUGCAUCCUGCAUUUACUCUGACCACAGUCCCUCCCUGUUCUCACAAGUGGAGCUCUGCCCUGCUUCCCUUCCUGUUGAUUCCCAGUCAGCUACAUGCUAACAUGGCACAGACUUCAGUGAGGCUGCUGCAUCAGUGAGGACUGCAGGAUUUGGCCCAGCAGGUAUUAACUCAUAUAAAUCCUAUUGGGAGCUUUCUUUGCCUGCUGUCUGCCUUUUAGGGGGACUGCUGGGGGGCAGGAAGCAGAGCAGCUAGGACAGGCUAUCGGAGAACCUGCUGUGGCAUCAACUGCCCAUUGCUGGCUGGGAGCUGCCAGCUGACAUUUGAGAGAACAUGCUUUAUAUGAGAAAGUGAUGAGUGAAUGGAAAUUAAAACAAAAGGAUUGAAAAUAGAGCUGUAAUCAAUCUAGCCCCGGUAUCUCAGUAAACCAGGGAUGUUAUUUUCACAGGGAAUUUGGGGGUAG
rnacentral:lncRNA from 1 species